UACACUCCUGCGGGAGGCAGCAGUGGGGAAUAUUGCACAAUGGGCGCAAGCCUGAUGCAGCGACGCCGCGUGGGGGAUGAAGGCCUUCGGGUUGUAAACUCCUUUCGCUAGGGACGAAGCUUUUUUGUGACGGUACCUAGAUAAGAAGCACCGGCUAACUACGUGCCAGCAGCCGCGGUAAUACGUAGGGUGCGAGCGUUGUCCGGAAUUACUGGGCGUAAAGGGCUCGUAGGUGGUUUGUCGCGUCGUCUGUGAAAUUCUGGGGCUUAACUCCGGGCGUGCAGGCGAUACGGGCAUAACUUGAGUGCUGUAGGGGUAACUGGAAUUCCUGGUGUAGCGGUGAAAUGCGCAGAUAUCAGGAGGAACACCGAUGGCGAAGGCAGGUUACUGGGCAGUUACUGACGCUGAGGAGCGAAAGCAUGGGUAGCGAACAGGAUUAGAAACCCCUGUAGUCCCAU
rnacentral:rRNA from 1 species